AUUACGGAGAGUUUGAUUCUGGCUCAGAGCGAACGCUGGCGGCGUGGAUAAGACAUGCAAGUCGCACGAAGCUUGUUCUCUAGCAAUAGAGGGCAAGUUCAGUGGCGAACGGGUGAGUAACGCGUGGGAAUCUACUCCAAAGUGGGGAAUAGCCCGGCGAAAGCCGGGGUAAUUCCGCAUGUGGUCUAGCCUAGCUAGAUUAAAGCGGGGGACUCGAAAGAGCCUCGCGCUUCGGAAUGAGCCCGCGUCCUAUCAGCUAGUUGGCGGGGUAAAGGCCCACCAAGGCGAUGACGGGUAGCUGGUCUGAGAGGAUGGCCAGCCACACUGGGACUGAGACACGGCCCAGACACCUACGGGUGGCAGCAGUCGAGAAUUUUUCACAAUGGGCGAAAGCCUGAUGGAGCGACGCCGCGUGGAGGAGGAAGGCCUUCGGGUCGUAAACUCCUGUCACCGCAGAACAAGGUCCCCCUGACUAAUAAGCGGGAGGACUUGAUAGUAUGCGGAGAGGAAGGGACGGCUAACUCUGUGCCAGCAGCCGCGGUAAUACAGAGGUCCCGAGCGUUGCUCGGAUUUACUGGGCGUAAAGGGUGUGUAGGAGGUCAGGAAAGUCGAAUGUGAAAUCCCUCUGCCUAACGGAGGAACUGCGUUCGAAACUGCCCGGCUAGAGGUUCGGAUGGGGAAGCGGAACUCUCGGUGUAGCAGUGAAAUGCGUAGAGAUCGAGAGGAACACCGGUGGCGAAGGCGGCUUCCUGGACGAAACCUGACUCUGAAACACGAAAGCUAGGGGAGCAAACGGGAUUAGAUACCCCGGUAGUCCUAGCCGUAAACGGUGUGCGUUAGGUGUUGGCGGAUUCGACCCCGCCGGUGCCGAAGCUAACGCAUUAAACGCACCGCCUGAGGAGUACGGUCGCAAGGCUAAAACUCAAAGAAAUUGACGGGGGCCCGCACAAGCGGUGGAGCAUGUGGCUUAAUUCGAUGCAACGCGAAGAACCUUACCUGGCCUUGACAUGCAGCGUUCAGUCCCGGAAACGGGAU
rnacentral:rRNA from 1 species